AUUUAACCCUGGGACAUGGGCCCCUGUUCCAGAGCAGCCCUGACCAUUAUCUACCUGUCCAGCCCUCUUGCCUUUUGGUCCAGAAACAGCAGAUUCAGGGGACACUCCAAGAUGAGCUUCCAGACCCAGCUCUUCUGUCUCCUGGUGAUGGGCUUUCAGGGCAGCGGAGGGUGGCACGUCCUGACUCAGGCCCCAGAGACCCUGGCAGCAUCUCGGGACAGCUUAGUCUCCAUCACCUGUAGAAGCAGCACGGAGGUAGGUACCUCCAUGGCGUGGUACCAACAGAAACCCAAUGAGGCUCCCAGGCUGCUCAUCUUUGGGGCGUCUGCCCGGGCCGCCGGAACCCCUUCCAGGUUCCGGGGAAGUGGCUCUGGCUCGGACUUCUCCCUCACCAUCCACGGAGUGGAGGCUGAGGACGUCGGGAUAUAUUACUGUCAGCAGCACUUCAGCUGGCCUCCCACGGCGACACGUCCCCGCACCCAAAUCCCCUGUCUGGGUCAUGGAUGCCGGUUCUCGAACCAAGACACCUGCUUCCUGCAGGAGGCCACGGCGUGA